GUGCCCGUAACUCAGUGGUAGAGUGUGAGAUUGCAACGUCAUCGUUGUUUCCUAUCUUGAAGCCCCGUGUUCGACCCACGGCGGGCACU